ensembl:lncRNA
UUUCAAGUUUGUGCAGAAAUUGGACAUUUAUUGGUGAAAACAUGGAAACUUUGUCAAUUUUUGCAAAAUAGCCGUUCAGUUUUUUUUCAUAAAACAUAUAAAAACAGAAGCAUAGUAACAAAUACGGGAUCAAUUAUUACACAAACACCAGCAGCCAUAGGUUUAAUAUUUUUAUAUAUAAUUAUUAGUGUCACUAUUAUUACAGUUUUGCGACACACACACACACACACACACACACACACAAUCUGCAUUAAAGAGACAAAAAAGAACAAAGCUUUUUACUGUUAUUGCAGAUAAGUACAACGAAAUCUUUAUGUAUAUAUAUUUGUCAGUCUUUCCACUUUAGGUAUUUAGCUUACUGCACAAAAAAAAUUCAGAAUAUACAGAAAACAUAAAUUAACUUUAUUGGAACUCCAGCUUGCGUUUCUUCCCUGUGGACAACUUAACGCUGCAAGUACUAAAGUCUUAAGGAGGUGGUAAAGAAAAAAUAAGAUUAUAUAUUUCAUUUUUAACAUUAUUCAGUUUACAUAUACAAUAGCUAAAACGAAUUGCUUUUUAAAAUCAAGGUAUGGCCUCACUGAUGUUUUAACUUAUAUGAAAUUAUGUUCUGCUUUGAUUACUGCACACAGUCAUUCAAGCAAUUCAUAUCAAGUAAAAAGCAAGCGUAUAGGACAAAGUUGACUGAUGCAACAUGGAACAUCUGCCACUUGAUUGAUUCCUAAAUCAAAUUGCCCAUAGAAACGACUCAAACUAUGGCUUUUAAAGGAGCUUUUUCACCCUAAUACAUGGCCCAUUAGCAAAUGGCCAUUCAUCAAAUUAACCCUACCUCGAGAGAGCUGCCAGCGUCUCAGAAAGUACAGUGCCACAGUGCUCUCUGUCUCCAGUCAGGACACACUCAGCAGCGCGUCCACUUUGCCAUGACUGUGUUUACCUCAGGAAUACACAAAUGCAGCUCACUGCAGGCUCUAUUAAGAAAACGAGACCAAACCUCUCCUGAUCCACAGAACACAGACUGCUUCACCCUCUUGUGUUAUUUACAGAAUUUAGUCUCAUUCCCUCGUAGUCAUUUUGUAGAUAUUUUUUUUACUAAUGCAGAAUAUUCUACGUUCUACAUGCAGCAUAUGAAGCAUGAAUUAUUUCUCUCCACAUGUGAUU